ACUAUCUCACACAAAUACGCCAUGGAAGGGCUCUGCUGCAAAUUUUUCAAGCUCCCUACUCCGUCCCGAAGGCUUCUCAGAUAAGGUGGAGG